UGGCUGUCGUCAGCUCGUGUCGUGAGAUUGGUUGGGUUAACGUCCGCAACGAGCGCACCCGCCUUAGUUGCCAGCAUUCAGUUGGGCACUCUAAGGGGACUGCCGGUGAUAAGCCGAGAGGAAGGUGGGGAUGACGUCAAGUCCUCAUGGCCCUUACGGGCUGGGCUACACACGUGCUACAAUGGUGGUGACAGUGGGCAGCGAGACCGCGAGGUCGAGCUAAUCUCCAAAAGCCAUCUCAGUUCGGAUUGCACUCUGCAACUCGAGUGCAUGAAGUUGGAAUCGCUAGUAAUCGCAGAUCAGCAUGCUGCGGUGAAUACGUUCCCGGGCCUU
rnacentral:rRNA from 1 species